AAGAGUGAUGAUGAUGGAUCCGG
rnacentral:siRNA from 1 species